GCAUCGAUGGUUCAGUGGUAGAAUGUUCGCCAGGCACGCGGGCCGCCCGGGUUCGAUUCCCGGUCGAUGCA
rnacentral:tRNA from 1 species